rnacentral:pre_miRNA from 1 species
CAUAUUUAAUUUUGUAUGAAAUGGGAUCGUUUGCCUACGUUUGCCGUUAGGGGCGCUGUUCCAACUGCAUACACAAUUGGGUUG